ACAAUUUUCCCUCGUAAAAAGCCCUAAAAUCUAUCACCCAUCCAUAGCCCAGCUUACACUUCAAUAGCCUCCCCUCUUCUUGUUUCCUAGGGUUUGGCUUUUAUAUCAUCAUCACCAGCUCCCUCUUUCUCCCUCAAAACCCGUGAUUUUGCCGAGGGAUUCUUAGUCCGUUUCCGGAGUAGGCCAUGGGGGAUUUCUGGAGGUUUGGAGACGGACGCCAGCAGGCCAUGAUGGCUCCGGCUAUGCCCACAAAGCGUUCUCGCACUGAAUUUGAUGCCAUGCCUACGGUUACCAGACAUGAUCUAGGAAUGCCCGGUGGCCUUGAGAUGUCUGGUUAUAUGCAGCGUGAAGAAGAUAGGGGAACCCGUGUGAUUAGGGACACUGAAUCUCUUGGAGCAUCAUAUGAUCGCUACCUUCGUAGUGGGCAAAUUACCUCCUUUGGUGCUGGAGAACCUGGUAAUCUUGGUGGAGGGGGCAUGACUAGGCCUGUGACUGGGGGAAUGCCUGGCCUUCCUGUUGAAGAUCCUGUUAUGAUGGGUGUUCCAAACAUGGAUCCCAGUUUGGGAGCUAAAGGGCGAAGCAUGCCAUUUGGUGGUGGAAGGCCUGAAAUGAUGCUUCCUCCUGAUGCUUCGAACACGCUUUUUGUUGAGGGCCUUCCAUCAAACUGUACUCGUAGGGAAGUUGCACAUAUCUUCCGCCCUUUUGUUGGUUUCAAAGAAGUAAGACUUGUGAACAAAGAGUCCAGACAACCUGGAGGAGAUCCAUUGGUCCUUUGCUUUGUUGAUUUUACAAGCCCAGCUUAUGCUGCAACUGCCUUGGAUGCUUUACAAGGUUACAAACUUGAUGAGCAUGAUCGAGACUCCCCAAACUUGAGGCUGCAAUUUGCCCGUUAUCCUGGGCCAAGGUCAGGAGGUGGGCCCCGUGGGAGACGUUGAGGCCUCCACCCAUUUGCCUAGCUAUCAGGUUUUGUGGGAUCGGGAAGAAGCGGCUCUGCGUGUUUAUGGCUGAAUGUUGGCAUCACCCAUAAUGACUUGCUCUCGCUCUCUACAGAUUUGACAUGAAGAAUACAGUAGUAGAGAUAGGAUCUCUCUCUGUCUACAGGUAUGGCACGAAGAAUACAGUGAGAUGAGGAUGCUGACAAUCAAAUUUGCAUGCCAUGUUUAUUCUUACUCUUGAUGUUGCAAGGGGAUGAAGCUGGUUGAGAUGUGUGGAGAACUGCUUGGGUUAUCCUUUGAUCUAUUUUAUUUCUUGCCUUUAUCUUCUCUGCACAUUGUUCUCUCUUUGGGGAGAGCAUGGCAUUCGCCAAUAGCACUGAAAAAAAGGAGUAAUGUCUUGCAAUUUAUCUUACUAGAGAAAUUUACAAACUCAACUCUCCAGUUUCAUGAAAUCGGAUCUUGAUCCAAUAACAGAUUUAUAACAUUCGAAAAAUUAUAAACUUUGCAAUCUGGUGUCGGGAGCCUGAAACAUGAGCCCAGCAUCAAUUUGGUG